GCUGCUCACUGGCGAUCAAGCGGCAAACCGAGAGCGCGAGCAAGUGGGAGAGGGAGAGCGUGCCGACGCGACGGCGGAGAGCUAAAGUAACGGCAAUGGCGUGAUACUGGAUUUUUUUUCGUUUAUGUCGACGCGGCAGAAAAAAAGAUGUGCGCCUCUUAAUGAGCAAACCCGUUUGGCCAAACUUACCGGAGCUUUUUCAACUGGAAAAGCUCGCCCUUGCACUAGUCAAGCGGAGCGUGGACAGAAAUGACUUUUUCAAGUGUUUAAAUAAGCGCGCAGUAAACAGCCGCAAAGUAGACAACAGUUUUUUCGUUUUAGCUUUGCAGCGAUUACACAAUGCAAGCACGCACACACAGGCACAUACAUUUGGAUAAUACUAUACUCUAUACUGGAACCGGCAAACUGUAACUGUUAACGCAACCAAAUGCCGUAAGGUUAGUCACUGUUGCCCCCAUAACUGGACUGCGCAUGAUUCACCCACACAAACAUAGCUGUUCAAGUGCUGACAUCAACCGUUACAGUGUCGCCAGGAAAUGCGUGGGAGCCGCAUAACCAUGUGCUAUGGGCAAAAAUGUGUUGCAUAUGUCAGCGAAUAACUCGAGAUUCCUGCAAUAUGCUAAAAAUCACAUAAACGAAUUGAAUUUGUUCCCACGUAAACCUGAUAUAAUAUCAAGCAAAGCCGCCGACAUACAAUACUUCGACCCUGAACAAAAGGCAACAUUAUAUUAUCGAAUACAAUUUGAAUAUCGGCAUAAAGCACGUGCGGUAAGGGCCCACCCAAGUACCCCAGGUUCGAUUCCAUUACCAUAUAAAUCAGAUCUAAGUUUAGCAGUAGUGCAGUAUAAUUAGGAAGACAUAUGUAUAUUAUGCGACUUUAAGCGUGUAAAAAUCCUACUCAAAUGAAAUAGCUCUAUGUAUAUUAACUAUAAAUCCUGAUGUUGACCAUUUACAAGAUCCAUUUAAAAAACUUGAAACUUAAA